UGGGGGUAAAGCGCGCGUAGGUGGUUUGUUAAGUUGGAUGUGAAAUCCCCGGGCUCAACCUGGGGAGGGCCUUUGAAACUGACGGGCUUGAGUUUGGUAAGGGGAAGUGGAAUUUCCUGUGUAGCGGUGAAAUGCGUAGAUAUAGGAAGGAACCCCAGUGGCGAAGGCGACCAUCUGGGCUGAAACUGACCCUGAGGGGCGAAAGCGUGGGGAGCAAACAGGGUUAGAUACCCUGGUAGUCCCCGCCGUAAACGAUGUCAACUAAGCGUUAGGGGGUUUGAGCUCUUAGUGGCGAAGUUAACGCAUUUAGUUGUCCGCCUGGGGAGUACGGCCCAAAGGUUAAAACUCAAAGGAAUUGACGGGGGCCCGCCCAAGGGGGGGGCCAUGUGGUUUAAUUUGAAACCACGCGAAAAACCCUUCCCGGGCUUUAAAUUCAUUGAAAUUCCCAAAAAAUAAUGGUUGCCUUUGGGGACAUGAAUACAGGGUCGGCAUGGGUUUUGUCCGCCCGUGUCCUGAGAAUUUUGGUUAAAUCCCGUAAAGGGGGCAAACCUUUUCUUUUGUUUCCAGCCCUUUAUGUGGGGCACUUUAAGGGGCCUGCGGGGGCCAACCGGGAGGAAGGGGGGGAGGACGUAAAGUCUUCAUGGCCCUUUCGCCCUGGGCUACACCCGGGCUCCAAUGGUCGGUACAAAGGGUGGCCAAGCCGGGAGGGGGAGCUAUUUCCAAAAAACCGUUCGUAGUCCGGAUGGCAGUCUGCAACUGGCCUGCGGGAAGUGGGAAUCGCUGGUAAUCGGGAAUCAGAAUGUCGCGGUGAAUACGUUCCCGGGCCUGGUACA
rnacentral:rRNA from 1 species